rnacentral:lncRNA from 1 species
CCUGAUACGAAUUCAUCGCCCAACAAUCCAAAGAAGCGUUCACUGUCACCAUUACUUAAUGAUUCACCUCCAAAACAGAUGAAAGAAAAAGAAAGUGCUCCUGAUUUGAAUUCUCCACCCAACAAUCCAAAGAAGCGUUCACAGUCUCCAUUACUUAACGAUUCACCUCCAAAACAGCUGAAAGAAAAUGAUGAAUCCAUGUAUGAUGUUCCCGAACUGACCAGUCCAACGACUCAGGUGGCUUCGCAACCUUUUGCUAUUCCACGUAAUGCAAUACGGUUAAAACUUAAAUGAAACGGCUA